AUGAACAAAACGGAGAUAUCGAUUCAAAUAAAGUGUGAAAUUUAUGAUACAGCUAGUUCAAUUUGGAUAGAAACAACAACAACAGUAAGGCAAAAACGAAGGAGGAAAAGAAUUACCAAGUCGGAGUUCCUCCCAAGGGUCUUCGUACCUCUCAGGUAUUUAUGGUUUCAUUUUGGCCAUGUUUUGGAUAGCAAGAAUAAGGAUAAUGCAGCAGGGGCAGAAGCACUGUUUUUUGUAGGCAAUAGGUUUUGGAGCAGUAAGGUUUUGGACUAA